rnacentral:rRNA from 1 species
UACGUAGGGACCAAGCGUUGUCCGGAAUCAUUGGGCGUAAAGAGCGUGUAGGCGGCUUGUUAAGUCUUGCGUGAAAUCUCCGGGCUUAACCCGGAAGGGUCGUUCGAUACUGUUGAGCUAGAGUGUGGAAGAGGCAACUAGAAUUCCGUGUGUAGCGGUGAAAUGCGUAGAUAUACGGAGGAAUACCUGAGGCGAAGGCGGGUUGCUGGGCCAACACUGACGCUGAUGCGCGAAAGCCAGGGGAGCAAACGGG